CGAAUAUGGCGGCGCCCGGUGAGGUGGAGUUAAAGUUGUGGAAAGUCGGAGUGGUGGGGUCCGUGAAUCAGAAGCUUGGAGGACCUGGGAGCCACAUCGCGACUGAUCAUGAAGAACCUCCCUAAUGGGGUGGAGACCCAACGAAACCCCGAGUCUGGAGCAAACAUGCCCAGAAGCCCAACCAGCCCAGGCAGUCAUCACAAGACUCCAUUCCCUCAGACACUAAAAAAGAUGACAAAAAGAAAACGGUGCCCAGUGACCUGGAGCAGGAGUUCCUGUCAGUUCACCAGAAGAGGGCCCAGGUGGCCAUGUGGGCAAAUGAUGCUCUGAACACUGAACUCCCAAGAGCAAGGACCAAGCCAGCAAGUGACUAUCUGAACUUCAACUCCGACUGGGACUAGGGGCUGGAGAGUGAGGAGGAGCCAACUGGAGAGGAACCUGAAGAUUUGUUUGACCCAUCUCCACCGGAUAUGCUUGAUCACCUGUGGGGGGAGGUUCAGAAGCAGGAAAACGGUCAGGAUGUAUGUUUGGACCCUGGUUGGACUUGAUGGGAAAUUCGCUGGCCUACUCUUGGAUGCACCCCAAUAAAAAUCAAGCUUGCUUCAAAUUUGGCACAAAUC